AUAAAAACAUUUUUAUUUCCAUAUAAAAUUUUAACAUUUUACGUUUCUUGAACCCCUAUAUAUACACACACAUAUACACCCACAUACUCAGAUAUAUACACAUCUUCUUCUUCAUAUUCAUGAGAAAAAGAAAAAAAAUAUGUGCAUGGCGGCCAUAGAUAUAAUUUAUAAAGAUUGAUUCACAGUCGUUUUUUGCUGCUGUAGCAUCAUCAAGAUUCACAUGCAAAUGCAACGAUGGUGAUGAUAAUAUAUAAUUAUAUAUAUAUAUAUUCUUGAUUAUGAACCAGCCGAGUUGUUUUGAAAAUGGGAAUCUUGAUGAUGCUGCAUCGGCAAUAAACGACUUUACCGGCAAACUCUUUCGAUCAAGAAAUUGAUUUUUGAUUUCUCUUUUUUUCUUGAAAGAUUUUAUUUUUUUUAUUUUUCUUGUUGUUGAGUAUUGUGGAUUCUUUUUCUUUUUAUGGUCAUAUUUUAUGUUUUCUGCAGAGCAAAUAUAGGAUCUUGAUAGGUUAUUUUUUGUUGUGUCAGAUCUAUGUUUAUUCCCAUUUUAGGAAUUUAAACGCUUUUUUUCUUUUAUUGGUAAGAUUUUCUUGCAGAGAUUUGAUAGAAUUACUACAAAUUUUCUUGAUUUUGAAUAUUCCGCAGGUAGAAGAGCCCUAAUGAAUUCUGCUAGCUGAUGCUCUAAUUUUCCUUUUUCUGGAAACAAAACAACAAGAAGAAAAGUCCAAUUAACAACAAUCCUGAAGAUGGUGAUGAUACAUAAGCUGAAGUUGAAGAACAGAAAAAUAAAAAAUAAAAUAUAAGCUAAAGCAAGAAUAUAUAUAUAGUAUAUAAUAUAUAGUUAAGAGAUAUAUAAUUUUGUUGGUAUAUAUACAAGUAGAUUGAGUUGAUGAUAUCAGCUUACUGAAGUUUGGAUUUGGGUUCUCAAAUGCACCAAAGGAUUAAUUAUUUGUCUUUGUCUUCAUUUAAAAUGAUUCAAAUAAUUAUUUUAUAGACAUUCUUGCAAGUUGUAAGUUGUUUUCUUUUUCUUUUUAAGUGUAUUUGGAUUUUGUAGAUCAUUGAGAACUGGAAAACUCAAAUGGUGGGAACAUUGACACACUGUCACUGCCAUUGUUGUGUUGGCUUCAGCUUUCAUUCUUGCUCUGGUGGACCAACUAUACAUGGACUAUAUUUGAUUGCAAAUCUCCUAUACAUUUAUGGCAUUUUUCUUUCUAUCUUUGGCUA